rnacentral:lncRNA from 1 species
GCUCCCCGCGGCCGCCGCCCCGCCAACCGCCGCUCGCGCGGGCUGGAACCAGGCAGCGGUGUACCUACAGGGAACCGUCCACCGCCGCGCUCCACAGCCUCCGCGCGCCGCGAGCGGAGCGCAGAAAGACCUUCCCGCGGCUCCGGCCGAGGAACCUCCCCGGCCCCGGCUGGUGGGAUAUGCUUGGCACCGACCCAGAGUUUUAAGGUAACUACUGGAGUAACACAGGACUGACCUAGCUGCCUGGGAACAAUAGCCAUUACACAUUCCUAGUCCUGGAAACUUCUGAGGUAACCUUGGGACAAAGGUUCUUAGUUUGAACCCCACACCUGGUUAAGGUCCUGUUAGAACUCAAGGGAUGGCCCCAGCGCACGGGGAGCCUCGGGCGGGGAGCGCUGGUCUUUGGACCAGCGGCUCACUCCCGGCCUCGUCGUUCCCUGGAAGGAGGGCUUCCG